CAGUAGCCACGGUAAUACAGAGGAUGCAAGCGUUAUCCGGAAUGAUUGGGCGUAAAGCGUCUGUAGGUGGCUUUUCAAGUCCGCCGUCAAAUCCCAGGGCUCAACCCUGGACAGGCGGUGGAAACUACCAAGCUGGAGUACGGUAGGGGCAGAGGGAAUUUCCGGUGGAGCGGUGAAAUGCGUAGAGAUGUGGAGGAACACCAGUGGCGAAAGCACUCUGCUGGGCCGACACUGACACUGAGAGACGAAAGCUAGGGGAGCAAAUGGGAUUAGAUACCCCAGUAGUCCCUGUCUCUUAUAC
rnacentral:rRNA from 1 species